rnacentral:snRNA from 1 species
GGAUGUGAGGGCGAUCUGUCACCCCACUGAUCGCCAGGGUUGAUUUGGCUGAUCUGGCUAGCUAGACAGGUGUUUCCCCCCCCCUUCCUCCCUCACUGCUUCAUGUGUGCCCCUCCCGAAGCUGUGCGCUCCUUUGAAGAGGAUGACCUUCCCCAUAGGAGGAGGACUGUCCUUCGGUCAAGGGUAUACAAGUAGCUACGCUCCCAUGCUAGAACCUCCAAACAAGCCUCAAGAUACUUCAGAGCAUUGCAAAGGACAAUGGAAGAAUCUACAAGAAUCAUUUAUCUU